GCUGAGCCGAAACCAAGAGUCAACGCUCAACUAACUGAGCCAUCCAGGCGCCCUAAAAUGGGAGAAAAAAAAAAAAGGAACAAUUUUCAUAAGAUCAAGUAAGCCAUGGUAACUUGAAAAACGUCGGGAAUCACCGGUUUACAAGUUGUGCGUGAACGGAAGAAUAACCAUCACAGCCCCAGCUGGCCGCUUCAUGCCAAUGGCAGCAAACAAGGUCAACUCGAGAAAGAUCAAUUAAGCGUUUGGAAGUCCUGAGGGAACAUCCGUAUCCUAUCUCGACACUGUUUGUCUCUCUCCGUCUCCACCACCGUCACCUCUGAUCCAGCCUGGUGCCACCAUGCAGACGAAACUUCCGUCACACCUGUCUCCAGCCAAAGGUUUGGUGGUUUCCCGUCUCGUUGUAAGCGGGAGCUUUGUGCCGAGCGUUCGAGGCCCCCGCCGCAUUCUGGGCUCCUAUAUCUAGGCCAUAGGAGCCUAGAAAGGUGUGCCACGCUUAGGGCUCUUGGUGGAAAAGUACAGAAACCAUUCCCGUGAACCUGGGCAGAAACACUUUGUUACGAGGGCAUUUUGUAGCUCCCAGAAUGACCAGAAUGCUCCCGGAACCAGGCUUGGACAUGGACAGGACCAAGGGCACUAGGUGUCUGACCAGGGGCCGUCUUGUUGGAACGCCACCAUAGAUGUCUGCUGUCCACCCCUCCACAUAGCAGCUGCGAUCGAUGAUCUUUGUAAAACUUAACUCUGACUGUGAAACUCUCCUGCUGCUACGUCGUAAGGAAUUUCUUUGGUCUCUGUCCCAGGUUCCUAGCGUGGAGCUUCUAAAACCCACCGGAUUUCCCAAGUGAUGGGAGUGCCACUGUUUCGUGGUGGUUCUUGAUGGUUUAUGCUGACGAGAUAGCCCACCCCAGAAGCACCAAGCCUGUGGUCAGUCGGGCUGUGAGCACGUGGUGCCAGCCUGCCCUCGGGGGAGGAGAGGCUGUUGAAGGUGCAGUCCAGGGGCUCCUGGGUGGCUCAGUCAGUUGACCGUCCGACUUUGGCUUAGGUCAUGAUCUCGUGCUCCAUGAGUUCAAGCCCCGCAUCGGGCUC